rnacentral:tRNA from 1 species
CCCUGGUUAGUUCAGUUGGUAGAGCGCUCCACCGGUAAUGGAGAGGUCCCGGGUUCAAUACCCGGACCAGGCG